GGUUUAGUGGCUUAGUAGUAGCGCACUCGCACUUCGUCGCUAUAGUACUAGGCGCUACCCCUUACGAGGAUUAUAACUCGUAAGUUAGUACUUAGCGAAUACGUUAUAAGAGGUCGGGGGUUCGAUUCCCUCCUAAACUA
rnacentral:tRNA from 1 species